GCAAGUCGUACGGGACUCUCUUUGUAGCAAUACCGAGGGAGUUUAGUGGCGGACGGGUGAGUAAUACAUGGGUAACGUACCCCGGACACAGGGAUAGCGGCGCCCCGCAAGGGGCUUUAGCGAAAGUGCCGGUAAUACCUGAUGAUAUCCCGAUUCGGCAUCGGAUUGGGAUCAAAUGGUGGGGACCUUCGGGCCUACCGGUCUGGGAUCGGCCCAUGCCCUAUCAGCUAGUUGGUGAGGUAACGGCUCACCAAGGCUAAGACGGGUAGCCGGCGUGAGAGCGCGACCGGCCACAUCGGGACUGAGACACUGCCCGGACACCUACGGGUGGCUGCAGCAACGAAUAUUCCGCAAUGGGCGCAAGCCUGACGGAGCGACGCCGCGUGGGGGAUGAAGUCCUUCGGGAUGUAAACUCUAAUAGUAUGUGAGGAAGCGAGCCGGUCGAACAGGCCGGCGAGUUGACCAACAUACGAAAGGGGCGGCUAACUCCGUGCCAGCAGCCGCGGUAAGACGGAGGCCCCGAGCGUUGUUCGGAAUCACUGGGCUUAAAGCGCGUGUAGGCGGGACGGCAAGUACCUUGUGAAAUCCCCGGCUUCAACCCGGGAACUGCUCGGUAUACUGCCGUUCUUGAGGCAGGUAGGGGUCACUGGAACCUUAGGUGGAGCGGUGAAAUGCGUAGAUAUCUAAGGGAACGCCUGUGGCGAAAGCGGGUGACUGGGCCUGUCCUGACGCUGAGACGCGAAAGCGUAGGGAGCAAACGGGAUUAGAUACCCCGGUAGUCUACGCCGUAAACGAUGCGCACUAGGUUCGAGAACCUCUGACGGUUUUCGAGCCGAAACAAAAGCGAUAAGUGCGCCGCCUGGGGAGUACGGCCGCAAGGCUAA
rnacentral:rRNA from 1 species